GCUCGCGUAGCCCAAUUGGUAGAGGCAAUAGACUUAGGAUCUAUCGAGUGCGGGUUCGAGUCCCUCCGCGAGCA
rnacentral:tRNA from 1 species